GACGAACGCUGGCGGCGUGCUUAACACAUGCAAGUCGAACGGUGAAGCGCCUUCCUUUUUGGUGGGUGUGGAUGAGUGGCGAACGGGUGAGUAACACGUGAGUAACCUGCCCCCUUCUUCUGGAUAACCGCAUGAAAGUGUGGCUAAUACGGGAUAUUCUGGGUCUGUCGCAUGAUGGGUCUGGGAAAGAUAUUGUUUCGGUGGGGGAUGGGCUCGCGGCCUAUCAGCUUGUUGGUGGGGUGAUGGCCUACCAAGGCGGUGACGGGUAGCCGGCCUGAGAGGGUGGACGGUCACACUGGGACGGAGACACGGACCAGACUCCUACGGGAGGCAGCAGUGGGGAAUAUUGCACAAUGGGCGCAAGCCUGAUGCAGCGACGCCGCGUGAGGGAUGGAGGCCGUCGGGUUGUGAACCUCUUUCGCCAGUGAAGCAGGCCUGCCUCGUUUGUGGGUGGGUUGACGGUAGCUGGAGAAGAAGCGCCGGCUAACUACGUG
rnacentral:rRNA from 1 species